rnacentral:rRNA from 1 species
UGAGUACGAGAUGCUACGGCAUCGAAGCAGUCUAUGUCAUACUUCCAAGAAAAGCUUGCACUGUCAGAAACAGAUAAUGCCUGUACCAUAACCGACACAGGUGGGUAGGUAGAGUAUACUAAGGGGCGCGAGAUAACUCUCUCUAAGGAACUCGGCAAAAUGACUCCGUAACUUCGGGAGAAGGAGUGCCUUAUUUUUAAGGUUGCAAUAACAAGAUCCAAGCAACUGUUUACCAAAAACACAGGUCUCCGCUAAGUCGUAAGACGAUGUAUGGGGGCUGACGCCUGCCCAGUGCCAGAAGGUUAAAGAAGUCGGUUAGCAUUCGCGGGGCUGGUAACUGAAGCCCUGGUGAACGGCGGCCGUAACAAUAACGGUCCUAAGGUAGCGAAAUUCCUUGUCGGGUAAGUUCCGACCCGCACGAAAGGCGUAAUGAUUUGGAUACUGUCUCGGAGAGGGGCUCGGUGAAAUAGACUUGUCUGUGAAGAUGCGGACUACCUGCACCUGGACAGAAAGACCCUAUGAAGCUUUACUGUAACUUGAAAUUGAAAUUGGACUUUAUUUGCGCAGUAUAGGUGGGAGGCGUUGAAAAUAUUCUUGCGGGAAUAUUGGAGCCAUCAGUGAGAUACCACUCUUGUAAUGUUAGAUUUCUAACUUUAUAUCAUUAUCUGGUUAAAGAACAGUUUCAGGCGGGCAGUUUGACUGGGGCGGUCGCCUCCCAAAUGGUAACGGAGGCGCACAAAGGUUUCCUCUGAACGGGUAGAAAUCGUAUCUAGAGUGUAAAGGCAUAAGGAAGCUUGACUGUGAGACCUACAAGUCGAGCAGGGACGAAAGUCGGUCUUAGUGAUCUGACGGUGCUGAGUGGAAAGGCCGUCACUCAACGGAUAAAAGUUACUCUAAGGAUAACAGGCUGAUCUCCCCCAAGAGUUCACAUCGACGGGGAGGUUUGGCACCUCGAUGUCGGCUCAUCGCAUCCUGGGGCGGUAGUACGUCCCAAGGGUUGGGCUGUUCGCCCAUGAAAGCGGUACGCGAGCUGGGUUCAGAACGUCGUGAGACAGUUCGGUCCAUAUCCGGUGUAGGCGUUAGAAUAUUGAGAGGAGCCUUCUUUAGUACGAGAGGACCGAGAAGGACAUACCUCUGGUGUACCAGUUAUCGUGCCAACGGUAAACGCUGGGUAGCUAUGUAUGGAGUGGAUAACCGCUGAAAGCAUCUAAGUGGGAAGCCCACCUCAAGAUAAGUAUUCUCAU